rnacentral:lncRNA from 1 species
CCACCGUUGGAAUCAUUUACUCCAAGAUGUGAAAAUCUGCAUUUUUGCGUUUGCAUCCAAAACUCACCUGUGAUACUGCCGCUUCAGAAUUUCCAGACCUUGAGUGGUCCCUCAUCUCAUUGUUGAAAACACUGAGAGGCACAGCAAAGGGAAAGGACUGGUUCAUGACACCAAAUUGAUGAGGAAACUGAAGUUUAGAGGGGAAAGCUUUCCUAAACACCUAGGUAAGUGGCAGAGCUAAGAAUUAUUUCAUUCAUGCCUGCUUCAGGGCACUACCUCACAAAUGCUGGGAUCCACUACAUUUGCUUCUUGGUUAAAUAGUGACU